UGAGCUGGCAGUGCAGGAAGCCAGGGAGGGAGCAGCCUCAUCCCAUUGGAUGAAGGUGCCCGUGGAAGGGGAGAACAGCCUGGCCAGAGGCAGGUCAGCAUGUGAUGAGCUGCCCUGUUCCCACCUGGGGGCUUGCCAGCAGACCAGGAGAAGCCCUGCAGCAUCAGGCAUUAAUGGCACUAUUUGGGGACAGCAGAAACUGGAGUAAGAUGGGCAGAAAUCCACCCUGGUGUGCACAAACCAGGCCUUUCACCUGCUCUAAAUCUACUGCUGCCUCAGCCACCCAAGAUGCGGGAAGGAUAUGUGAGCAUUCUGAUGGACACAACAGCCACUUCCAACAGCAGGGGUUGUUUUCAGUCCUCAGUUCUUUCAAGUGCUUGAUGAUUUCACAGUCCCUAUAGAGACUGACUUGGAGAAGUUGCUGGCCCACCCUAGCUGGGAUCUGCUGUCCAUAUCCCUGUGGAUGUUCCUGCUUCCAUACUGGAAAUACGUAUGGAUUUCAAUGGCAGUUAGAAAUCAUCACUCUCCACCCAAAUUGUGACCAGCCAAAGAGACUGCAUCACUUGCUCAGAUUUUGGGAGCUUUAAUUGAGGAAAAGCAACUUCAGAGCGUGUUUCCAGGGCCUUCAUCUUCCAGACAAGUGAGAACCACCUGACCACCUCUUUUAGCUUUCCC
rnacentral:lncRNA from 1 species